CUGGUGGCUCUCGACUGCUGAGCUCUGGUUCUUGUCAUUUCGAAAGGAUGUUUCGAAUUAUGUGAGGAUCGUAAUCCCUAUCGCUCCCCCCUUCCUGACGCACCAAAACCUGUUGCGGUCAAUCCCCUCGUCGCCUGGUCACCGGGAGCGAGCGCCUGCAAAAGAAGUCCACACAACUGGAGAUGACUACGGCGGGGACCCUCCGACGGUCAAGUCAGGGAGGAGACUAGGCAACAGUAGAAAAGAAUCAAAGAGCUCUGCGAGAGAGAGAGAGCUAGAGAGGAG
rnacentral:lncRNA from 1 species